UUUUUUUAAAUUUAAAUUAUUUUUAUUUUUUUUAAUUAAUAAUAAUAAUUUUAAAAAAAAGUUAUAUCCCCCCCCUCCCUUCUUACCUUUAGCCUGGGAGGGGGGGGGGGCCGUUUUGCCUGGGACGGGGGGGAGCCGUUCUGCCAUGGGAGAGCCAUGCUGCCU